GAUGAAGAACGUAGCGAGAUGCGAUACGUAAUGUGAAUUGCAGAAUUCAGUGAAUCAUCGAAUCUUUGAACGCACAUUGCGCCCGCCAGCACUCUGGCGGGCAUGCCUGUUCGAGCGUCAUUUCAACCAUCAAGCCCCAGGCUUGCGUUGGAGCCCUGCGGCUGCCGCAGCCUCCUAAAAGCAGUGGCGGGCUCGCUAUCACACCGAGUGCAGUAGAUUACUCUUCGCUCAGGGCGUGCAGCGGGUUCCGGCCGUGAAACCCCCUACUUUUAAAGGUUGACCUCGGAUCAGGUAGGAAUACCCGCUGAACUUAAGCAUAUCAAUAAGCGGAGGA
rnacentral:misc_RNA from 1 species